rnacentral:rRNA from 1 species
CCUGGGGAGUACGGCCGCAAGGUUAAAACUCAAAUGAAUUGACGGGGGCCCGCACAAGCGGUGGAGCAUGUGGUUUAAUUCGAUGCAACGCGAAGAACCUUACCUGGUCUUGACAUCCACAGAACUUUCCAGAGAUGGAUUGGUGCCUUCGGGAACUGUGAGACAGGUGCUGCAUGGCUGUCGUCAGCUCGUGUUGUGAAAUGUUGGGUUAAGUCCCGCAACGAGCGCAACCCUUAUCCUUUGUUGCCAGCGGUUAGGCCGGGAACUCAAAGGAGACUGCCAGUGAUAAACUGGAGGAAGGUGGGGAUGACGUCAAGUCAUCAUGGCCCUUACGACCAGGGCUACACACGUGCUACAAUGGCAUAUACAAAGAGAAGCGACCUCGCGAGAGCAAGCGGACCUCAUAAAGUAUGUCGUAGUCCGGAUUGGAGUCUGCAACUCGACUCCAUGAAGUCGGAAUCGCUAGUAAUCGUAGAUCAGAAUGCUACGGUGAAUACGUUCCCGGGCCUUGUACACACCGCCCGUCACACCAUGGGAGUGGGUUGCAAAAGAAGUAGGUAGCUUAACCUUCGGGAGGGCGCUUACCACUUUGUGAUUCAUGACUGGGGUGAAGUCGUAACAAGGUAACCGUAGGGGAACCUGCGGUUGGAUCACCUCCUUACCUUAAAGAA